AUUUUUUAAAGUCCCUUCACAACAGCGGCAAACAGCCUUGGGCAGCAGGAAACCUUCAGACCCGCUUCUCAUCCUGCGUGAGUCCUGGAGGCGGGAACGUGGCUGGUUGAGGUUCAAAGACCUGCGCUCUAAUUACCAGCAUAAUUAGAAUAAGAACAUGUUGCUCACUCCAGAGGGGCCCGCCCCGCGCCUCUGCUGCUCUGGGAGAAAGCGUGUUUAAGAAUUCCCAUGGAGUUGCAUGGGAGGAAAAGCGACCCCACGCUGAGCUGCCAACGUGGUUGUCAGCGCGCCCCGUGUGAUUUCGUGCCGCUGUUUUCAAUGCGCUAACGAGGCACGUUAUUCUUAGCCGCGUCCGGGAGGGGAUCACAUUCCUGCGCAGUUGCGCUGCUGGCGGAAGUGACUUGUUUUCUAACGACCCUCGUGACAGCCAGAGAAUGUCCGUUUCUCGGAGCGCAGCACAGCCUGUCCCAUCGAGAAGCCUCGGGUGAGGGGCCCGGUGGGCGCCCGGAGGCCGCUGGAGGGCUGUGGGAGGGACGGUGGCUCCCCACUCCCGUGGCGAAGGGCAGGCAAACCAGAAGCCUCUUUUGAGAGCCGUUUGGGAUUGAGACGACUUCCCAGAGACCGUGACAAAAGACAUCAUUCUACGCUGCACAAAAGCAGCCAGAGGCGGCCUCUCCCACGCUCCGGGAGCGAAGGGAAUGAUCUGGCUAGAGAGCAGCACUCCAGGGUGACUCCGUCCUGCUGUCUAACCGGCCUCCGGCAGAGUGGCAGAUCAUCUGACUCUCUGAACCACUCUGAACAUCAGUCUCUUCAUCUCUAAAUGAGGGUGCUGGCCGUGUGGAUCCGCAGGGGUAUCCUGAGGUGGACAUGGACUCCAUGGAAGCCUGAGCUGCCAGGGGCUUCCCUGGGGCAGCACUGCUUCGCGUAGGCUCACGAGAAACUUCCAGGGUUCCUGGCGCCAGCCUUUCAACAGAGCAGCACAUUAUGCCUGGAUAAGACUCAAAGAGCAGCUUAAUAUCAGGUUCUCUGGGGCUGUAAUCAUCGGUUCAGGAUGGAGCAGACACAGCCGCAGCAAGGCCUCUGUGCAGCCCCCGGUUUAAAACACAUCAACGCAUCCGUGGGCACUUUUGUGAGUUAAAGCUCAACUUACACAUCUGCCUGUAUCCAUAGGAAAUGAAUGAAAAUAAACAAACAAAUUCCUUGCAUUCAACGCAGCGUAAGAAAAAUCACAUCCUGUUCCCCAGUAGCUGAGGAAAGCCGGCUCACGAGAGUAUACAGGGAGAAGAGGCCAGCAUUGUGUGGCUGCCAGCAAAGCUCACUUGUAUGUCAAAUGCAGCGCUUUUCUUAGCCCAUUAUGUAUUUUUUUUUUCUUGAACACUCCUGUGUCUACUGGGAUCUCCUGUUUUUAUUGUUUUGGGAUGAGAUUUUAAAAACACCAUUUAAUGUAGCCUGUGUGCUCUUGUUCAUUAAACCAAAAAGAAACCCUGGAUCACGGCA
rnacentral:lncRNA from 1 species